GACAGAGGUGCCGAGCGUUAGGCGGAAUCACUGGGCUUAAAGCGCGUGUAGGCGGGACGGCACGUCGGUCGCUGAAAGCCCCCGGCUCAACCGGGGAACGGGCGCCGAUACGACCGUCCUGGAGGGACGUAGGGGGACCUGGAACAUCCGGUGGAGCGGUGAAAUGCGUUGAGAUCGGAUGGAACGCCCGUGGCGAAAGCGAGGUCCUGGACGUUUUCUGACGCUGAGACGCGAAAGCCAGGGGAGCGAACGGG
rnacentral:rRNA from 1 species